CCAACGGUUUCCUCGGCUUAGAGGUUCAAACUGAGGAAAGUCCCCCCUCCUUGAGAAAGGUGGAUUUGCGCAAGUGAAUAGGGCGAGAGUCCUGGCUUCCUGAAGCUAAUUCAGGCUUGGCGUGAUAAUCGUCGAGAUGGAGCAGAAACGACACAGCUGCUGAACAAUGCGAUGAUUCGCUUGGCGAUGAGGUCUUCAGCGGAUUUGGUGAAACGGCCAUCCCCACCGGAGCAAGUCCAAACGAACCGGAAUGAAGUCUCGAGACCGGUAGGUAGGACGCAUAGUCGAAUG
rnacentral:RNase_P_RNA from 1 species